rnacentral:rRNA from 1 species
AUUGAACGCUGGCGGCAUGCUCUACACAUGCAAGUCGAACGGUAACAGGCCGCAAGGUGCUGACGAGUGGCGAGCGGGUGAGUAAUGCAUCGGAACGUGCCCAGUCGUGGGGGAUAACUACUCGAAAGAGUAGCUAAUACCGCAUACGAUCUAUGGAUGAAAGCGGGGGACCGUAAGGCCUCGCGCGAUUGGAGCGGCCGAUGUCAGAUUAGGUAGUUGGUGGGGUAAAGGCUCACCAAGCCAACGAUCUGUAGCUGGUCUGAGAGGACGACCAGCCACACUGGGACUGAGACACGGCCCAGACUCCUACGGGAGGCAGCAGUGGGGAAUUUUGGACAAUGGGCGCAAGCCUGAUCCAGCAAUGCCGCGUGCAGGAAGAAGGCCUUCGGGUUGUAAACUGCUUUUGUACGGAACGAAACGGCUCUGGUUAAUACCCGGGGCUAAUGACGGUACCGUAAGAAUAAGCACCGGCUAACUACGUG